GGGCAAGAAGGGGUGAGUGCUACAGAAAUCCAAGAUACAUGCGCGUGUAUUGCAAGAAGAGCUGUCGGGUGUGUAAUGCGCAAGAAGAUUGUGUGGAUCGUAACCGAUACUGUCAACACUGGGCCUCACAGGGUCACUGCUACGCUAAUCCUGGCUACAUGGGACCCAACUGCAAAAGAAGCUGUGGAAUCUGCUCUAGGUACCGGGAGUAAUUUUCAGAUUCUGAAGCAACACAAUGGCGUUGAAGAAUGGAGUUACUUGUAAUUACGAUAAAUCAAACAGUGGAUGCUGCAUUGAAAUGCAUCUCUUGUCAGG